UGGGGAAUAUUGGACAAUGGGCGCAAGCCUGAUCCAGCCAUGCCGCGUGAGUGAUGAAGGCCUUAGGGUUGUAAAGCUCUUUCGCCGACGAAGAUAAUGACGGUAGUCGGAGAAGAAGCCCCGGCUAACUUCGUGCCAGCAGCCGCGGUAAUACGAAGGGGGCUAGCGUUGUUCGGAAUCACUGGGCGUAAAGCGCACGUAGGCGGAUUGUUAAGUCAGGGGUGAAAGCCUGGAGCUCAACUCCAGAACUGCCCUUGAUACUGGCAAUCUCGAGUCCGGAAGAGGUAAGUGGAACUGCGAGUGUAGAGGUGAAAUUCGUAGAUAUUCGCAAGAACACCAGUGGCGAAGGCGGCUUACUGGUCCGGUACUGACGCUGAGGUGCGAAAAGCGUGGGGAGCAAAACAGGAUUAGAUACCCUGGUAGUCCACGCCGUAAAACGAUGGAGGCUAGCCGUUGGCGAGCAUGCUCGUCAGUGGCGCAGCUAACGCAUUAAGCCUCCCGCCUGGGGAGUACGGUCGCAAGAUUAAAACUCAAAGGAAUUGACGGGGUCAUAGCUG
rnacentral:rRNA from 1 species